AAGGAAACACCACGUCAUAUCUGAGAAGAGGCUGCUAUAAACAGAAGGUACCACGAAAACAAAUAUAAUAAAGACAGGACACAGUUCUCACAUUUUCAGUAGAUGCUGUUACCUGGGAGAGUUCAGAACCGGAGACCUGCUUGCUGUUUACUAAAAGGUCAGAAUAGCAAGUCGCGGAGGGCAGCCGAGGUGAACUCCCGGGCCAGGUGGCAGGCCAGGACAGCAUCUGCAGGGGACAAACUCUCUCUCAGAACGACCCUGAGGACUGUGAGCGUUGCUGUGUGCAUCUGUGCUGUGUCCCUUUUCAUUGCUGAGCGGUGUUCCUUUGUUUGGAUAUGCCACUGUCUGCUUCUUCACUCAUCAGGGUCUAGCUCUGGUACCAGGUUGGAGUGCAGAGGCGUGAUCUUGACUUACUGUAGCCGCCCAUUCCCAGGAGUGAUCUUCCCACCUCACUCUCCCGAAUAGGUGGCACUGCCAGCAUGCACCAACAUACCUAGCUGAUUUUUGUUAUUUUUUGUAGAGAGGGGUUUUGUCAUGUUGCCCAGGUUGGUCUUGAACUCCAGGAGUCAAGUGAUCCACCUGCCUUGGUCUCCCAAAGGGCAAGAAUUGCAGGCAUGAGCCACCAUGCCCGACUAACUCCUGUUUUCAAUUUUAGGUAGUCAUUUGAUUAUUGGGUUGUAGAAAUCUUACUUUUGGAUUAAUAUCUUAAAAACUAUCACCAGUUACCUAUGUGUUAACUGCUUAGUUUUUCAACCAAACUUUAAUCAUCAGCCAACCCUCACUUUCAGCCCAGAUCCAUGAGCUCAUGCUUGGUGAUCAGUUAACUCCUUGUUUUUUAGCUAAUGCGUUAAUUAGCAAUUACCAUCUUUGUCUUCAGCUAAACAUCAUACUUCUCAAUGCUUUGGUUAUCAGCUAAUGUCUUCUUUUUCAGCUAACACUUUAGUGGACAUUAAUAUUCUUAUUAACGUAUGUUACCUCAACCAGAUAAGACCCUGCUGCAUUGGGGAAGGGAAGUGGGGGCUUAACAAGGAACGUGAAGACAUUAAAGGCAAAACUUCUGAGUUAAUGAGGGGAGUCCUCCAAGAGAGUUCUUUCCUUCAGGAGCCGGAGUCUGGCUCUCCAUGAAAGCUUUCUGAAUGAAUGAAUGGAAUGGAUGAAUGAGUGCAUGAGUGGGUAGU